AUAAUCUACUCUGCUGUAGGUGUCUUUUUAAGAAUAACUAUUAUUUUAAGAAUAACUAUUAAAAGAUGAAACGGGAAGUCGGUGCGCGUUAUUGCUAUGCCGACGCUGCCCCCGCAACGGUAAUCAGGUAUAAAAACCAUAUUAUGCCACUUUGUUUUACAUGGGAAGGCGUGGUUUUGGAGUUUUACUCAGCCUGAAAGCCCGGAGACCGGCCUACUGCAACAUAGCAGA
rnacentral:ncRNA from 2 species